rnacentral:rRNA from 1 species
UACGGGGGGGGCAAGCGUUGUCCGGAAUUAUUGGGCGUAAAGCGCGCGCAGGCGGUCCUUUAAGUCUGAUGUGAAAGCCCACGGCUCAACCGUGGAGGGUCAUUGGAAACUGGGGGACUUGAGUGCAGGAGAGAAGAGUGGAAUUCCACGUGUAGCGGUGAAAUGCGUAGAGAUGUGGAGGAACACCAGUGGCGAAGGCGGUUCUCUGGGACGGUACUGACGCUGAGACGCGAAAGCGUGGGGAGCGAACAGG